rnacentral:lncRNA from 1 species
GCCGCUCCCCACGGUCCCCACCCUCAUUCUCCACACGUUGCCUUCCUGGAUUUCCCUGCACCGCUCUUUCCUAGAUGGUUUCCAUCUUUUUUCUUUCUUAGGCUUUUCAAGGCCGGUGUGCUGCACAACUCAGGGACAGUGGCCGAGGGCAGCAAAUGGGGACGAGUCUCGUGUGAGACCCCAGAAGGACAAGGCCGCCGGGUCAGCAGUGUGACCACAAGAUCCCCACCAAGGCGACGCAGCAGCCCCGAGGAGCCCGGCUACUUCGACUGGCGCCUUCGGGUCUUCCCAGCUCUCUUCUCACGGCCCAGGCCCAGGCACGGCGGGAGCGGAGUCUCAAACUCCCGCUGCAAGAUGGUCUCACAUGCAGACUUAACCCUUAAAGAGUCUGGAAGGAACCUGACAGCAUCCUCUCCUGAGUGGGGCUCACUGAGAAAUCCCGGGCCAGUGUCUCCCUGAGGACCCUGAGAUCUGCCUGUGUGCAGGAGAGAGACUCUGAAGGCUGUGUACAGGAGCCUGAGCCUCCACUGACCAACCUGAGUUACAACCAGCCCUCGGGAACUGCUUGAGUUCGUAAGUCAAAGGUCCGCUGUACUCUGCUUCUGCUCUGUUGUCUUUCUCAGGAAAGCCUCCCAGUGCCAGCUCUGACUCCGUGACAUGCGACCUCACAUGCAGCACUCUGAGCAUGAGGAUCUGCCCUGGAUCCUGCAGCCACUUCCUGCCAUGGACUCGGGCCAGAUCUACCCUCCUGCACCCCGAUUCCUGAGUUGAUUGUGGGGUUUUCAGUGAAAUGAUAUGAAAGAGAGGCAAAGAGAGCAGGGAGCCUAUGGAGAGCUCUGCAUGUCUAAUUGCCAGUGUUUUUGCUACUCCUGGAUGAGCCCUCCACUGUUUUAAUUUUGACUCUUUCAAAAGAUUCCCAGCCAGUCUUGGACAUGAGCCAGAGGAAUUAAUUUUCUCCUGCGAUGGCAUGAUUCUUUUUUUAAAAGCUAAAUUGGAUCUCCCCGCCCUCCAUGUAGAAGCCUCUGAGGUUCCUUUUCUCUCUGAUUGCCUUCCCAGCCACACGAAGGCAUUUGCUUAGGGUGGAAUCCGCUCCUUGGAAUUGGAAUGACAGCUGCUCCGCCUUCACACUUAUUUCCUGCUACUCUCCCGAAAAGGCACAGUUUUCAUAAACACAAGUGAUCCCUCGGUGGUCACACCGGUCCCUUUGAUGUCACCAGACCUCUCUACAUGCCCGUUUCGGUGCUUACCAUUUCAUCUAGAAAACUCCUACUGGUCCUUCAAGACCCAGCUGCUCAGGGUGGUUUUCUCUAAGUCAUAACCAUAUACCCUCCUGCGCUACUAAGAAUACUCAGAGUACUUUAUACAAAGCAUUUCUCAGACUAAAUUUGCAAUUACUGAAUUGCAAUUACUUUUUCCAGGGUAAGUUACAUUUCACAAUAAAGAUCAAAUGGGGUGCACUGUACUGAGUCUGGUACCUCGUAGGCUCUCAGUAGAUAUGGUUGAGUGAAUAAAUAACUGCAAGCUCGUUGUUCUUACAGUCUACAAUGUCUGUUAGC